rnacentral:rRNA from 1 species
GACGAACGCUGGCGGCGUGCUUAACACAUGCAAGUCGAACGGAAAGGCCCUGCUUUUGUGGGGUGCUCGAGUGGCGAACGGGUGAGUAACACGUGAGUAACCUGCCCUUGACUUUGGGAUAACUUCAGGAAACUGGGGUUAAUACCGGAUAGGAGCCCCCGCUGCAUGGUGGGGGUUGGAAAGUUUCGGCGGUUGGGGAUGGACUCGCGGCUGAUCAGCUUGUUGGUGGGGUAGUGGCUUACCAAGGCUUUGACGGGUAGCCGGCCUGGGAGGGUGACCGGGCACAUUGGUACUGAGAUACGGCCCAGACUCCUACGGGAGGCAGCAGUGGGGAAUAUUGCACAAUGGGCGGAAGCCUGAUGCAGCAACGCCGCGUGCGGGAUGACGGCCUUCGGGUUGUAAACCGCUUUCGCCUGUGACGAAGCGUGAGUGACGGUAAUGGGUAAAGAAGCACCGGCUAACUACGUG